GUCUCAGUGCUAUGAUGGGGUCUAAAACCAGACUGAAGCGUUUCGUAUACAUUGUUUGUCUUCAGGAAGGCAGUCAGUUGCUGUGCAACAGCUUUUUCUAAAAUUUUGGAGAGGAAUGGAAGAUUCGAUAUAGGCCGAUAGUUUUUUAUAAUUUCUGGAUCAAGAUUCGGCUUUUUCAAGAGAGGCUUUAUUACUGCCACUUUUAGUGAGCUUGGUACACAUCCGGUGGAUAGAGAGCCGUUUAUUAUGUUCAACAUAGGAGGGCCAAGCACAGGAAGCAGCUCUUUCAGUAGUUUAGUUGGAAUAGGGUCCAGUAUGCAGCUUGAGGGUUUGGAGGCCAUGAUUAUUUUCAUCAUUGCAUCAAGAGAUAUAGUACUAAAACACUUUAGUAUCUCCCUUGAUCCUAGGUCCUGGCAGAGUUGUGCAGACUCAGGACAAUGGAGCUUUGGAGGAAUACCCAGAUUUAAAGAGGAGUCUGUAAUUUGCUUUCUAAUGAUCAUGAUCUUUUCCUCAAUGCUUCCCACAGUUGUGUCAAGUUGGCUGGAUGUCUUUUGGGUGGUGGACGAUUCUUGAUACACACAGGAAACUGUUGAGCGUGAAACCCAGUGUUGCAGUUCUUGACACAAACCGGUGCGCCCGGCCCCUACUACUAUAUCCCGUUCAAAGGCACUUAAAUAUUUUGUCUUGCCGAUUCACAAUCUGAAAGGCACACAUACACAAUCCAUGUCUCAAUUGUCUCAAGGCUUAAAAAUCCUUCUUUAACCUGUUGCCUCUUCAUCUACACUGAAGUGGAUUUAAUAAUGGAUCAUAGCUUUCACCUGGAUUCACCAGGUCAGUCUAUGUAAUGCAAAGAGCAGGUGUUCUUAAUGUUGUUUUGUAUACUCAGUGUAUAGGGCCUAGGCUACCUAAUUCCACAGGGAUGGAGAAACGGGUGCUAAACUGAUGUCUUUGAUAUUGCAGUAUAUGUUUGUGUUUACAAUCCCAGAGGUAAAUGUACUAAUCAGCAAUAAUUGACACAGACAUCAUCUCAUCAGGGGUAUGACAAGGUGGUCACACAGGGUACAGCUGUGUGUGUGAGGGGGAGGUCCUCUCCAAGUCUUCUGUUCUGUCUGUUUUCGGAAAAACAAAUGCCUUCUCCUAAACCCUAGUUUUUGUUCAUUUUAUUCCUUUUUUAAAAUGUAUUCAUUCAGUGAGGAGGGGUGUGAAUGGGAAAUACUAUAAAAAUGUUGGAAUCUGAGGAAAGAUUUUGAAAUGUUUACGUUUUGUAAAGAUGACCAAUUAUUUAUAGUUUUGUUCAAUGGAAUGUUAUUAUUGCCUUAUUUUUCAUGGCCCUUGAGAUAGUGUUUCUGGGGUGAAUGGGUCAAUGAUGUAUAUAUUUUCAUCUGAAAAUGUUGAAAUGUGUACACCUUGAGUGUACAAUUUUUAUAAUGGUCAGCUUGUCAGUGUACAUAUUGUUUUGUAUGCAGAAAGGUAGAAGUGCAGCUAAUAAUUUAAUCAAGACCGACAGUUUACCAAUCAAGAGUUCACCAUGCCAGACAAUCAAAGAUUUACUUUUAGUCUGCAGCUAUACCUUACAAAAUAAUUUUGAAUUUAGCUGAACAAAUGACUGUUACAACAGCUUUUGACACUGAUGGGUAUGUUUAAAAUAACACAUAUGUUUAAAAUGACUGUUUAUAAUUUUUUACUAACUUGACAGAUCAGAAGACGACUCAUGUCCACAAUUUAUACAUGUACAGUACAUGUUUUUAAGUUAGAGGUGUUGUUAUCUGUUGGAUAUACUUUUUAAUCAUACUGUUAACCAAAUGCUGUUUUCAAAAGUUUGUAAAUACAUUGUACAUGGGGGGGGAAUUGUGUGUAUUUUACAUUCGUUUUUACAGGAAAAUAGUUAAACCCUUGAAUGUAGUUUUUCAGGAAGCAAUGCAAGGUGUAACAUAAUUGUAUAGAUCCUAAAUUCACCAAUGGAAUACAUAGGGUCUAUAAACCAGCUACCGAAACUGCCAGACAAUGUGUAGCUUGUAUGUGAAUAUUGUUAUGUUGGUUGUUGACUACCUUCUUUGUGUAUAUGGUGUAGGUGACAAAAGCUGUCAUGUAACAGAUGCUGAGAAAAAAACUUGUGUUAUACACCUGCUUUUAAUAGAUGGGUUAGCUGAUGAUGUUCACGCUUCAAUGGGGCAGAAGUCCAUGAGUUGUUGUGAUUCUGGAUGGCCAGGUAGCUACCAACAAUGACAAGAAACUGCCAUGUGGGGUAUCGCAAGUGACUUGUUUCAUCUUGUUCUUGAUGCCAUGUCUUGUUUUGGCUGAUUUCAUGUCAAUGCUAAUAUGGCUCAAAUUCGCUACCUAGCUAACCAACAACAGUUAACAAAUGCUCAUUGUGCAACUAUAUUUGUUUUCAAUAAACAUUGGAGACAAUGUAGUUUACAUUGUCAACAAUUUAAGCCAACCGCAUCUGUUUUGCCCCAUAGUUGCGCAGGAGUUGAUUUUGUUUAAGUGAUAAUGCCCGAGAAGCCGGUGUUUGGAGGAAAUAUUGGCAUGGUUUGUCAGCCCUCGACUUAUUCUCGGGCCUAACAACACCGUU
rnacentral:lncRNA from 1 species